rnacentral:rRNA from 1 species
CAGCCGCCGCGGUAAUACAGAGGGUGCGAGCGUUAAUCGGAUUUACUGGGCGUAAAGCGUGCGUAGGCGGCUUCUUAAGUCGGAUGUGAAAUCCCUGAGCUUAACUUAGGAAUUGCAUUCGAUACUGGGAAGCUAGAGUAUGGGAGAGGAUGGUAGAAUUCCAGGUGUAGCGGUGAAAUGCGUAGAGAUCUGGAGGAAUACCGAUGGCGAAGGCAGCCAUCUGGCCUAAUACUGACGCUGAGGUACGAAAGCAUGGGGAGCAAACAGGAUUAGAUACCCCUGUAGUCCCUGUCUCUAUACA